GUACUUAACUGGCAGAAAAGACGCAAUGAUCAAGAAGGUGGUUUUCCAAGGGCGACGCUCAUCCAUUGCACUGGGGAUGUGCUGACCCCUGCGAUUUUCUCGCAGGUGGGAAACUCCACAGCAUAAUUUGGGAUAGUGAGGAACUGCAUCCGCGUUUUCUCC